UAACACGUGGGUAACCUGCCUGUAAGACUGGGAUAACUCCGGGAAACCGGGGCUAAUACCGGAUGCUUGUUUGAACCGCAUGGUUCAAACAUAAAAGGUGGCUUCGGCUACCACUUACAAAUGGACCCGCGGCGCAUUAACUAGUUGGUGAGGUAACGGCUCACCAAGGCAACGAUGCGUAGCCGACCUGAGAGGGUGAUCGGCCACACUGGGACUGAGACACGGCCCAGACUCCUACGGGAGGCAGCAGUAGGGAAUCUUCCGCAAUGGACGAAAGUCUGACGGAGCAACGCCGCGUGAGUGAUGAAGGUUUUCGGAUCGUAAAGCUCUGUUGUUAGGGAAGAACAAGUACCGUUCGAAUAGGGCGGUAC
rnacentral:rRNA from 1 species